UAGUUUUUCUGUGCAGAGUGUACUGUGGAUUAGUUCAUUUUCCACACAUCAUGGUUGAAUCCUAGUCUUAAAAUCCAACCUGUUUUUCUAAGAACUGUGACUUUCCACACGCAUCUUCCUCCCAUCACAAGCACUGCAGCUGGUUUCUCGUUCCCCUGCCCUUUAGCUCCUCGUCCCCCCCCCCCCCCCCCCCCCCCCCCCCCCCGCCCCCACCCACCCAAACGUCUCUUAUUGCGUUGUUGUGCUUAUAGGCCUAGAGAAUGUUAACACCAUGCCGAGAUGUGGAGGCUGGGAGUGGCCAAGCCUGCUAGCUAAUGACCUGAACAUUGCAGCCCGGGGCCCGCGUGUGAGCUUCAGUAAACUGACAAGACUUCACACACUGGACCUCCAGAGUUACUCAGAAACUUCAGAUGAAAUAUGCCAGACUGCUGGUUUAAAACAGAGGGAUUAUUUGGCAUAAUAAUAAGAGAUCAUGCACAUUUGUGAUUAUGCUUCAACCUUUUCUUCAAAGGUGAGAUACCAUCAGAGUGUGUGCUGUUGCAGGAAACAGAAUGGAGAGCCGUGAAUGGGAGUCUCUGCACUUCAUAUCUGCAAAAGAAGAGAAUAAAAAGGUUAACUCUAGACUUAGAACAGAGUAUCUUCAUCUGUUUAAAGCAAUGCCCAUAAACAAUUUAAAUUUAAAAAUGAAAAUGUGCUAAAACAAGAGGUUUGUGGGUGAACUCAACCAUUUAAACUGUAUCUACAGUUUUAGAAGUCAGUAUCUUGACACUUUUAUACCACACCAUCUUGAUAUUAAAGGUUUAAUAAAAAA